UUCUAACCGUAAACGAUGACAACCAGCGAUUAAUCGGCGUUAAUAUACGACCCGAUUAGCAGCUUCCGGGAAACCAAAGUUUUUCGUUUCCGGGGGAAGUAUGGUUGCAAAGCUGAAACUUAAAGGAAUUGACGGAAGGGCACCACCAGGAGUGGAGCCUGCGGCUUAAUUUGACUCAACACGGGAAAACUCACCCGGCCCGGACACUGUAAGGAUUGACAGACUGAGAGCUCUUUCUUAAUUCAGUGGGUGGUGGUGCAUGGCCGUUCUUAGUUGGUGGAGCGAUUUGUCUGGUUAAUUCCGAUAACGAACGAGACUCUGGCCUAUUAAAUAGACGAGAUAUUAUUUAGUAUCUCGCGCUUCUUAGAGGGACAAGCGGCGUCUAGUCGCGUGAAAAAGAGCAAUAACAGGUCUGUGAUGCCCUUAGAUGUCCGGGGCUGCACGCGCGCUACACUGAAAGAAUCAGCGGGCGUUUUACCUGGUUCGGAAGAAUCGGGUAACCCAAGUAAUUUCUUUCGUGCUUGGGAUAGGGAAUUGCAAUUAUUUCCCUUAAACGAGGAAUUCCCAGUAAACGCGGGUCAUAAGCUCGUGUUG
rnacentral:rRNA from 1 species